rnacentral:misc_RNA from 1 species
AAAAAAUUUGAUUAAAGAGAAUAACCUGGAAAAACUUAACAUAAACCAAUCUGGCUAAAUCCAAGCCAACAAGCCUCUCCUAUUACACUAAACCUAGGAUUAUAUAUGCUAAAUGAAAAAAUCUGGAAAUGAUACAAAAUACGAAGGGCCAAACAACAAACUUAGAAUCUCUAAACCAAGCAAAGGAAUCAUAAAAAAAGAACCAAAAAGUUCGAAACAAAACAUAACCAAAAGAUUUAGCAAAGCAGAAAAUACCAAAACAAUAGGACCAACAUAAAAUAUAAGCAGCAGCUUUAACAAGACAAAAAGGGAUCGCAACCACAACAGCAGAAAAAGCAUAACCACAAACGGCAAAAUGAACAAAACAUUAGAAAAUGAACUAUCAUCCAACCAGUAAAACGGCCCCAAAAGUGAAUCUCCAGCUUAAAAGAACAGACCGAACAUGCUGUAAUAGAAAAGCUAGGGCCAAAGAACACUUUAGAGCCAAGCAAUAAGAUCUUGUGACUGAUUAGUACCUUGUUUAGCCAACGAAUCUGCAACCCAAUUCACCUCAUGAGGAAUAUGUUUAAUAGAAAAUGCUUGAAAUAAACUUAUGCUGGAGGUAAUUGAGUUGGAGACAGAAUUAAGGCACCACGGGAUUGCAUCCAGGGAUAUAACUAAUUCCACAAUAAACCCGCAUACCAAACUUCAAAUAUCAGGCCUUGUAGCUAAAAUAACCAAUGCUUUCUCAAUUUCCAUGAAUUAUGCAGCAUUUGAAUCUUUACAACCUGUGAAACAAGGGAAAAUGCAAAGAAAAUUACCCAAAGAGUUAUGAAGAACACCCCCCAUUGCACUAGGCCCCAGUUCCCCCAUGAGGAGCCAUCAACAUUCCACUUAACCCAAUUAAGAGCAGGGUGGUUCCA